AUUGAACGCUAGCGGCAGGCUUAAUACAUGCAAGUCGUGGGGCAGCAUGAUGUAGCAAUACAUUGAUGGCGACCGGCAAACGGGUGCGGAACACGUACACAACCUUCCUUUUAGUGGGGAAUAGCCCAGAGAAAUUUGGAUUAAUACCCCAUAAGAUAAUGAGAUGGCAUCAUCUUAUUAUUAAAGCUUCGGCGCUAGAAGAUGGGUGUGCGGCUGAUUAGGUAGUUGGCGGGGUAACGGCCCACCAAGCCUACGAUCAGUAGCUGAUGUGAGAGCAUGAUCAGCCACACGGGCACUGAGACACGGGCCCGACUCCUACGGGAGGCAGCAGUAAGGAAUAUUGGACAAUGGACGCAAGUCUGAUCCAGCCAUGCCGCGUGAAGGAUUAAGGUCCUCUAGAUUGUAAACUUCUUUUAUUUGGGACGAAAAAAGAUCAUUCUUGAUCACUUGACGGUACCAGAUGAAUAAGCACCGGCUAACUCCGUGCCAGCAGCCGCGGUAA
rnacentral:rRNA from 1 species